rnacentral:rRNA from 1 species
UGGGGAAUUUUGGACAAUGGGGGAAACCCUGAUCCAGCCAUCCCGCGUGUGCGAUGAAGGCCUUCGGGUUGUAAAGCACUUUUGGCAGGAAAGAAACGUCGCGGGUUAAUACCCCGCGAAACUGACGGUACCUGCAGAAUAAGCACCGGCUAACUACGUGCCAGCAGCCGCGGUAAUACGUAGGGUGCAAGCGUUAAUCGGAAUUACUGGGCGUAAAGCGUGCGCAGGCGGUUCGGAAAGAAAGAUGUGAAAUCCCAGAGCUUAACUUUGGAACUGCAUUUUUAACUACCGGGCUAGAGUGUGUCAGAGGGAGGUGGAAUUCCGCGUGUAGCAGUGAAAUGCGUAGAUACGCGGAGGAACACCGAUGGCGAAGGCAGCCUCCUGGGAUAACACUGACGCUCAUGCACGAAAGCGUGGGGAGCAAACAGGAUUAGAUACCCUGGUAGUCCACGCCCUAAACGAUGUCAACUAGCUGUUGGGGCCUUCGGGCCUUGGUAGCGCAGCUAACGCGUGAAGUUGACCGCCUGGGGAGUACGGUCGCAAGAUUAAAACUCAAAGGAAUU